rnacentral:rRNA from 1 species
AGCUAGUUGGUGAGGUAAUGGCCCACCAAGGCGACGAUCGGUAGCCGGACUGAGAGGUUGAACGGCCACAUUGGGACUGAGACACGGCCCAGACUCCUACGGGAGGCAGCAGUGGGGAAUAUUGCACAAUGGGGGAAACCCUGAUGCAGCGACGCCGCGUGGAGGAAGAAGGUCUUCGGAUUGUAAACUCCUGUUGUUGAGGAAGAUAAUGACGGUACUCAACAAGGAAGUGACGGCUAACUACGUGCCAGCAGCCGCGGUAAAACGUAGGUCACAAGCGUUGUCCGGAAUUACUGGGUGUAAAGGGAGCGCAGGCGGGCGAUCAAGUUGGAAGUGAAAUCCAUGGGCUCAACCCAUGAACUGCUUUCAAAACUGAUUGUCUUGAGUAGUGCAGAGGUAGGCGGAAUUCCCGGUGUAGCGGUGGAAUGCGUAGAUAUCGGGAGGAACACCAGUGGCGAAGGCGGCCUACUGGGCACCAACUGACGCUGAGGCUCGAAAGUGUGGGUAGCAAACAGGAUUAGAUACCCUGGUAGUCCACACCGUAAACGAUGAUUACUAGGUGUUGGAGGAUUGACCCCUUCAGUGCCGCAGUUAACACAAUAAGUAAUCCACCUGGGGAGUACGACCGCAAGGUUGAAACUCAAAGGAAUUGACGGGGGCCCGCACAAGCAGUGGAGUAUGUGGUUUAAUUCGACGCAACGCGAAGAACCUUACCAAGUCUUGACAUCCUGCGACGGACAUAGAAAUAUGUUUUUCCUUCGGGACGCAGAGACAGGUGGUGCAUGGUUGUCGUCAGCUCGUGUCGUGAGAUGUUGGGUUAAGUCCCGCAACGAGCGCAACCCUUAUGGUCAGUUACUACGCAAGAGGACUCUGGCCAGACUGCCGUUGACAAAACGGAGGAAGGUGGGGAUGACGUCAAAUCAUCAUGCCCUUUAUGACUUGGGCUACACACGUACUACAAUGGCGUUAAACAAAGAGAAGCAAGACCGCGAGGUGGAGCAAAACUCAGAAACAACGUCCCAGUUCGGACUGCAGGCUGCAACUCGCCUGCACGAAGUCGGAAUUGCUAGUAAUCGCAGAUCAGCAUGCUGCGGUGAAUACGUUCCCGGGCCUUGUACACACCGCCCGUCACACCAUGAGAGCCGGGGGGACCCGAAGUCGGUAGUCUAACCGCAAGGAGGACGCCGCCGAAGGUAAAACUGGUGAUUGGGGUGAAGUCGAAACAAGGUAGCCGUAGGAGAACCUGCGGCUG